GUUUUUAGAGAUUAAAGUGUAUUUCAAAGCUAUUCUUUACUUUCCAUAUCUUCUUCCCUCCAGUGACAUACAGGGUCUUGGUCUGUGUUGACAUUUUGGAUGUCCAAGUAGUGAACAAUGCAAAACACUGAGAAUAAUCCUUUUAAUGCAAAGAAUGACCAGAUGUGAUAACAUAACACAGCCUUGUUUGAGAUUCUUGACUUGUUUAAAAUUUAAGUAGCAUUACAUCUCUUUACAGAACUGGCUUAGAAUACGCAUGGAAACAGCUCUUAUGCGGUCUAUGAGGCCAAAAAAUAAAUGCAAUUCUGCACAUUUUUUAUUUAAAAGCAUUCACAAGUGACAUGUGAGGCAUAAACGUUGGCCAAAAGCCACAGCUAAGCAUUGUAUUAAAAAGGAUACUACUGUUUUUAAGCCAAAAACUAUUUAGGAAUCAGUUCUCCAUUUCCUAAUUAUUAAAUUAGGAAUAAAGCUAGAAAUAUAUAAAGGGAUGUACUUUAAGUAUUGUCUUUCAGUUUAAUAUCCAUGACUACUCUUACAAAUCCAAACAAAAUUGAUCAGUAGCCUACAUAAGCAGUCAUGUAGAACAGAAGAGGACUCUCCUUUUUAGGCUAGGAGAAAGAGUUGUGCUAGAUGUGACUUGGUGAGAUGUUGGGAAGUAAAAUUAAUGAAAUAGAUACGUGCUAGGAGAAAUGAUUCUACACACAUGUUCUGAAUGCUUCUGCUUAGAUUAAUGUUUUCCUGCAAAUAAAACUGGUUAUCAUCUAUUUCAGGUCAAAUAAUGUAGCUAUAAAGAUGAAUCUAGAGCUUCCCAGGUGGUGCAGUGGUAAAGAAUCCACCUGGCAAUGCAGGAGACUCAGGAGAUGCAAGUUGAAUCCCUGGGUCAGAAAGAUCCGCUGGAGGAGGAAAUAAUGCACUCCAUAUUCUUGCCUGGGAAAUCCCAUAGACAGAGGAGCCUGACGGGCUACAUUCCAUGGGGUCGCAAAAAGUUGGAUACGACUGAGCAACUGAGUACACAUAUACACAAAGACAAAUCUACAGUAAGCAAGAGUGAGGACCUGAAGACAUGGCAUGGCAACCAAUGUUUCAUGUGUCUGUGA
ensembl:lncRNA